AGAGUUCGAUCCUGGCUCAGGAUGAACGCUAGCUACAGGCUUAACACAUGCAAGUCGAGGGGCAGCGGGAAGUUAGCUUGCUAACUUUGCCGGCGACCGGCGCACGGGUGAGUAACGCGUAUCCAACCUUCCCCUUAGUAGGGCAUAGCCCGUAGAAAUGCGGAUUAAUACCCUAUGUUGUAUAUUGAUGACAUCUGAUUUAUACCAAAGGUUCACCGCUAAGGGAUGGGGAUGCGUCUGAUUAGGUAGUCGGCGGGGUAACGGCCCACCGAGCCAACGAUCAGUAGGGGUUCUGAGAGGAAGGUCCCCCACAUUGGAACUGAGCCAUGAUCAAACUC
rnacentral:rRNA from 1 species